CAAGAAAUAACAACUCGGGGCCUCACGGCUUACGAGAUUGCAAUGAGAACAAUUUAAAUCUCUUAGCGAGGAACAAUUGGAGGGCAAGUCUGGUGCCAGCAGCCGCGGUAAUUCCAGCUCCAAUAGCGUAUAUUAAAGUUGUUGCAGUUAAAAAGCUCGUAGUUGAAUUUCUGAUUAUGGAUGUAGCGGUUUCCGUUACAUUUGUAGUCAUCCACAUGAGAACCUUUCUCGGCCUUCACUGGUCGGUUGGGGGAUCAUGUACUUUACUUUGAAAAAAUCAGAGUGUUUCAGGCAGGCGUUUGCAUGAAUACACAAGCAUGGAAUAAUGGAAUAGGACUAGGGUCCAUUUUAUUGGUUAUUGGACCAUAGUAAUGAUUAAUAGGGACAGUUGGGGGCAUUAGUAUUUAAUUGUCAGAGGUGAAAUUCUUGGAUUUAUUAAAGACUAACUUAUGCGAAGCAUUUGCCAAGGAUGUUUUCAUUAAUCAAGAACG
rnacentral:rRNA from 1 species